CGGCCACCACUGGACUGAGACACGGCCCAGACUCCUACGGGAGGCAGCAGUAGGGAAUCUCGCAAUGGACGAAAGUCUGACGAGCAACGCGCGUGAGUGAUGAAGUUUUCGGAUCGUAAAGCUCUGUUGUUAGGGAAGAACAAGUGCCGUUCAAAUAGGGCGGCACCUUGACGGUACCUAACCAGAAAGCCACGGCUAACUACGUGCCAGCAGCCGCGGUAAUACGUAGGUGGCAAGCGUUGUCCGGAAUUAUUGGGCGUAAAGGGCUCGCAGGCGGUUUCUUAAGUCUGAUGUGAAAGCCCCCGGCUCAACCGGGGAGGGUCAUUGGAAACUGGGGAACUUGAGUGCAGAAGAGGAGAGUGGAAUUCCACGUGUAGCGGUGAAAUGCGUAGAGAUGUGGAGGAACACCAGUGGCGAAGGCGACUCUCUGGUCUGUAACUGACGCUGAGGAGCGAAAGCGUGGGGAGCGAACAGGAUUAGAUACCCUGGUAGUCCACGCCGUAAACGAUGAGUGCUAAGUGUUAGGGGGUUUCCGCCCCUUAGUGCUGCAGCUAACGCAUUAAGCACUCCGCCUGGGGAGUACGGUCGCAAGACUGAAACUCAAAGGAAUUGACGGGGGCCCGCACAAGCGGUGGAGCAUGUGGUUUAAUUCGAAGCAACGCGAAGAACCUUACCAGGUCUUGACAUCCUCUGACAAUCCUAGAGAUAGGACGUCCCCUUCGGGGGCAGAGUGACAGGUGGUGCAUGGUUGUCGUCAGCUCGUGUCGUGAGAUGUUGGGUUAAGUCCCGCAACGAGCGCAACCCUUGAUCUUAGUUGCCAGCAUUCAGUUGGGCACUCUAAGGUGACUGCCGGUGACAAACCGGAGGAAGGUGGGGAUGACGUCAAAUCAUCAUGCCCCUUAUGACCUGGGCUACACACGUGCUACAAUGGGCAGAACAAAGGGCAGCGAAACCGCGAGGUUAAGCCAAUCCCACAAAUCUGUUCUCAGUUCGGAUCGCAGUCUGCAACUCGAGUGCGUGAAGCAGGAAGGCUCAGGACCGUGCACACAGCAGAACGAAUCC
rnacentral:rRNA from 1 species